GACGAACGCUGGCGGCGUGCUUAACACAUGCAAGUCGAACGGAAAGGCCCUGCUUUUGUGGGGUGCUCGAGUGGCGAACGGGUGAGUAACACGUGAGUAACCUGCCCUUGACUUUGGGAUAACUUCAGGAAACUGGGGCUAAUACCGGAUAGGAGCUCCUGCUGCAUGGUGGGGGUUGGAAAGUUUCGGCGGUUGGGGAUGGACUCGCGGCUUAUCAGCUUGUUGGUGGGGUAGUGGCUUACCAAGGCUUUGACGGGUAGCCGGCCUGAGAGGGUGACCGGCCACAUUGGGACUGAGAUACGGCCCAGACUCCUACGGGAGGCAGCAGUGGGGAAUAUUGCACCAUGGGCGGAAGCCUGAUGCAGCAACGCCGCGUGCGGGAUGACGGCCUUCGGGUUUGAAACCGCUUUCGCCUGUGACGAAGCGUGAGUGACGGUAAUGGGUAAAGAAGCACCGGCUAACUACGUG
rnacentral:rRNA from 1 species